UGUUCCACUUAUACAUCAUUAAUAGGUCUUAGAAAUUAAAAAACAUAAAUAAGAUAAUAUAUAUAUAUAAAAAAAAACAAAGAAAUCAAUUUUACUUUUUUCAAACAAGAUUUUUUUUUUCUUCUAUAUGAUUUUCUAAAAAUUUGUAUGGCAAAUAUAUCGCUAUAGACCACGGUUAGAAAGUUAUGAGAAUUUGUGUAUGUGUGUGAUUGAAAAGUAAAAUAGGAUUUGAAUAAUUACUCAGGAAAAUAAUUAAAAAAGUUUUUAUACUGUUACCCAUACUUGAGUAGCCUGACUAUCAACUAGUCGUAUAAUAUUGUGUUACUAUUUUUUUGGAAUCUCAUGAAGAAUUCAAGUGUAAUAUUGGAAUAUCCCAGUAUAUCUAUAAAAUAUAGUUCGUUAUCUUAAUAUAGUAAAUGGCCAGUAAUUAAAAUAGAUGAUUAAAAAUGUACAAUUGCAAUCGAUAUACCUAUACAAUAUACCUAUACCCUAAAACUACACGAUAAUAAUAAUUAACAGAAUCGAAUUAAGUCCAAUUAAUUUAGAUAUUGACAAAAUGUUUUACUAAAUGUAUUGUUAUUUCAUUUAUUAGAGCCUGAAUUUAUUAAAGAAGACGGUAAUAAUAGAGUAAAUUAUAAUAUACAUAUAACAUAUUACAUAUAUAAAACUUAAAUAAACUAUUCCUGAAUUACAAAAUACAUAAUUUUUAGUAAGAUAAGAGUCUAAUAAAUUGUAUAGUUUCAUGUGCUCAAUUAAUAACUUAUUCUAUCAUUAUUUUAGAAGAAGCAAAGGAUAAGAUGAAAAAACUUACAGUAAUUCAAAAAAAAUACUUCAAUUAUCAUAUCAGAUUGUUGAAUAAAUUGAAAGAAAGCACACGAUAUUGGACAAUAACAGAUUGGUGUAAAUUAAAAUUUGAUCCUCCCAUUGACACUCAAACAAAUUCACUUUAAGCACCGUAAAAGGAAGAACCUAGAUAGUUGAAUAGCUAUCUUAUUUAAUAAAUCCCAUUUGAUUGUAUUUUAAUUUUAUUUUCCAGUUAAGGCUAUAAAGGCCACGGAGAUGUUGGGCGCCGACAUCAGACAUAUUCAUAUUUCAGUAAUCUCUAUGCUUUUAACAAUUGUACAUGUGCCGUGUUUUUAAAUUGUAUUUAACAUAAAGACAUUAAAAUAAUAAGAUACAAACAAAUUCUUAUUUUUAUUCAAAAAUAUUAGUUUUGAACUGCAUAUUUGUAAUGCAUAUUUUGUUGGCUAUAAGUCAUCUGCCUUAGUUUUAAUUAUUAUGACUAUCAUGUUCAU